rnacentral:misc_RNA from 1 species
AUUUUGUUACUCUUUAAAAAAAUAUUGAUUCAUUACAUUUAUUUGUGAAUUCAGAUUUAAUCGUAAAUGAGUCGUGAUUGCUUAGCAUAAGAAGAGCCAACUGUUUGUUGCACUUCUGAUCCAACUUAUAUGUUACUAGCAUAAGAAGAGCUGAAGUUCAUAAUUUAAUACACAGAUAGCUUUGAGAUUCUUUUCUCGCUAUCUUUUCUCUAGUCUUCUAUUUCCUGUCAACUACCUUUUUUUUUUAAAAAAA